GGUCGUGUAGUGUAGUGGUUAUCACGCUCGCUUUACAUCUAUUGUAUGCGCGAGAUGUCGUAGGUUGAGCCCUGCCACGAUCA